GCUCGUGGAUCGAUGAAGACCGCAGCUAAAUGCGCGUCAGAAUGUGAACUGCAGGACACAUGACACAUGUGUGCGCGUACCACUCCGGGUGGACAGGCGCACGGCCCUCCAGGCAGCACGUAUGCGGAGUGACGUUUGCCCGCGCGGUUCGCCCGCCACGGUAAAACGUUGAAGAUAGUCAGGCGCGUCGCCCCGCGUGGUCGACGUGGUUGAUGAAUACAUCCCAUAGGCCGCCACCACCAUGUAUCGGCUACGUUGUGUUCCAUCAGCGUGUGCCCCCUCCCGGGGUAUACCCUAUCGGCAUAUAUCAGUAGGCCUCAAAUAAUGUGUGACUACCCCCUAAAUUUAAGC
rnacentral:rRNA from 1 species